GACGAACGCUGGCGGCGUGCUUAACACAUGCAAGUCGAACGGAAAGGCCCUGCUUUUGUUGGGUGCUCGAGUGGCGAACGGGUGAGUAACACGUGAGUAACCUGCCCUUGACUUUGGGAUAACUUCAGGAAACUGCGGCUAUUACCGGAUAUGAGCUCCUGCUGCAUGUUGUGGGUUGGAGAGUUUCGGCGGUGGUGUAUGUACUCGCUGCUUAUCAGCUUGUUUGUGGGGUAGUUGCUUACCAAGGCUUUGACGGGUAGCCUGCAUGAGAGGGUGACCGGCCACAUUGGGACUGAGAUACGGACCAGACUCCUACGGGAGGCAGCAGUGGGGAAUAUUGCACAAUGGGCGGAAGCCUGAUGCAGCAACGCCGCGUGCGGGAUGACGGCCUUCGGGUUGUAAACAGCUUUCGAAUGUGACGAAGCGUGAGUGACGGUAAUGGGUAAAGAAGCACCGGCUAACUACGUG
rnacentral:rRNA from 1 species